UAUACCAAAUAACUGAAGAGAAUUCAGUCCAUAUGCUUUGGCUGAUCCCACAGUAUUUGAUCAUCACGAUAUCGGAGGUCAUGUUCUCCAUUACUGGUUUGGAGUUUUCCUUUACGCAGGCACCUGCUACAAUGAAGUCUGUCCUCCAAGCUGCUUGGCUUUAACUACAGCCUUGGCGGGAACUUAAUUGUUGUGGUUGUAGCAGAGGCCAAGUUUGUUAAGAGACAGUCUAUGGAGUUCUUCCUGUUUGCUGGACUGAUGUUUGUCGACAUGGUCAUUUUUGCUGCCUUGGCCUUCAAUUAUAAGUAUGUGGACGAAGUGAAAGAAGAGCGCACGAACACCAACACGAGAGGAGACGACGACAGACCUCCCGUUGCUGCCGCUGGCAAAGAAAAUGAAGGAUUCUGUGAUGAUGAAACCAAGUUGUAACACCCACAUUAGUUUAUGUGAAAUUCAGGGUUGCAAGUCAAAUUAUUACACUUAUUCUCACUUGAUUUCUACAAUUAUGAUUGUGAUAAUCGUUUCCCAGAUUAGUUGUGUUAACAAAAAUCUACUGUUGUUUUGCUUUUAAGAAUUUUUUGUUUUUUGAAAAUCUUUUACUACAUCACGUAUUCAGAAUCCUAUUACAGAACUAUCCACGUUUACAGAGAAUACAUAAAGAUUUAAUCUAUGAAAAUUUUUAUUUUUAUAAAAAAAAAUGCAUGUUCUAUGUGUCCCUUUGGUUUAACCUGAAUAUGAAAAGUUCUUAAUU